rnacentral:rRNA from 1 species
UACGUAGGGACCAAGCGUUGUCCGGAAUCAUUGGGCGUAAAGAGCGUGUAGGCGGCUUGUUAAGUCUUGCGUGAAAUCUCGGGGCUCAACCCCGAGCGGUCGUGAGAAACUGGCAGGCUAGAGUGCGGGAGAGGAGAGUGGAAUUCCUGGUGUAGCGGUGAAAUGCGCAGAUAUCGAGAAGAACACCGGUGGCGAAGGCGGCCAACUGGACGGUGACUGACACUGAGACGCGAAAGCGUGGGGAGCAAACAGG